rnacentral:rRNA from 1 species
AGGGACUCCCAGUGCUACGUCUUCGGAUGUAGCUUUUGUCAAGUCUAAGAAUCUUGGCGAAUAAGUGGUGGGUAAGACGGGUGCCAGCCGCCGCGGUAACACCCGCGCCACUAGUGGGGACCACAUUUAUUGGGUCUAAAGCGUUCGUAGCCGGAUUGUUAAGUCUCUUGUGAAAUUGUUGCGCUUAACGUAACAGCGUGCAAGGGAUACUGGCAGUCUUGGGACUGGGAAGAGGCAGAAGUAUUCCAGGGGGAGCGGUAAAAUGUUAUAAUCCUUGGAAGACUACCAGUGGCGAAGGCGUCUGCCUAGAACAGGUCUGACGGUGAGGGACGAAGGCCAGGGGAGCAAAACGGAUUAGAUACAAGACAUUUUCUCGAAAAGGUUCUUAGAAUAGUUUCAAAAAUUUUGCUUUAAAACUACAUUUUUGAAAUGAAAGAAAAGAAAGUAUGGAAAUGUACUUGCUAAUGACCCGAGUAGUCCUGGCAGUAAACGCUGUGUGCUAUGUGUUGCAUAUUCUUAGUGAAUAUGCAGUGCCUAAGCGAAGGUGUUAAGCACACCACCUGGGAAGUACGGCCGCAAGACUGAAACUUAAAGGAAUUGGCGGGGGCUCACUACAAGGGGUGAAGAGUGCGGUUCAAUUGGAUUCCACGCCGGAAAUCUCACCAGGGGCGACGGCAGAAUGAAGGUCAGAUUAAAGGUUUUACCUGACAAGCCGAGAGGUGGUGCAUGGCCGACGCCAACUCGUGCCGUGAGGUGUCACGUUAAGUCGUGCAACGAGCAAGACCCAUAUCCACUUUUGCCAACAGGUCCUACGGGAUGACUGGGGACAAUGUGGAGACUGCCUGCGUAAGCAGGAGGAAGGUGUGGGCAACGUUAGGUCCGUAUGCCCCGAAUCUCCUGGGCUACACGCGCUCUGCAAUGGUAGAGACAAUGGGACGCAACACCGAAAGGUGAAGCAAAUCCUCCAAACUCUAUCUUAGUUCGAAUUGAGGGCUGCAACCCGCCCUCAUGAAGCCGGAAUCCCUAGUAAUCGGAUCUCAUUACGGUCCGGUGAAUACGUCCCUG